CGAACGGGUGAGUAACGCGUGAGGAACCUGCCUCAAAGAGGGGGACAACAGUUGGAAACGACUGCUAAUACCGCAUAAGCCCACGGCUCGGCAUCGAGCAGAAGGAAAAGGAGCAAUCCGCUUUGAGAUGGCCUCGCGUCCGAUUAGCUAGUUGGUGAGGUAACGGCCCACCAAGGCGACGAUCGGUAGCCGGACUGAGAGGUUGAACGGCCACAUUGGGACUGAGACACGGCCCAG
rnacentral:rRNA from 1 species